UUUGUGCGAGUCUACAGCACUCACCUUGAGCUGAGGCCUGACUUUUGUUUUCACUUGAACACUUCUGUCUCCUACCUACCACCUGCUGAUUACCACAAAACAGUCUUACUGUUCAGUUGACAGAAACAUCUUCCCGGUAUGCAAGAAAGAUUUCUGGUACUACAGCCCUGCAGGAGGCAUUGAAGGAGAAGCAGCAGCACAUUGAACAGCUCCUGGCAGAAAGGGACUUGGAGAGGGCAGAAGUUGCUAAAGCAACCAGUCACGUAGGAGAAAUAGAGCAGGAAUUAGCACUUGUUCGAGAUGGACAUGACCGGCAUGUACUGGAGAUGGAAGC